AACCUUUUUUGGUUAACAAAUUUGUGCCAAUGCCAAACAGUGGCCCUAAGAAAACUGUGUCUUGCAGUAUUGCCGACCUUGAAAGUGAGCCUGGCCUAUUUAUAUAUCAAACAAAGAGAAAGUAUUUGCUGAGGCUGAUGCCACGGCAAGGAAGUACAGGGAAAAGCUACCUUCUGGUUUGCCUCUUAUAAAUCGGAAUUCCCUCCAACCAAUGCUUUACCCUUUGAGAAUGAGGUAAGAAUGAAUGCAAAUUGGAAGUGGUUCAAAUUUGAAAGAGAAUAUGAACCAGCGUGACCCUUAAGGUUGCCCUGUGACACCAUCAAAUUAGAAAAAAGGGAGGGCUCAGACCUUGCUAUCCUCUCCUAACCCACACACACCCCAUAAUGAAAAAAUGUAAAUAUCUCUCAAAUCUCAACAAGGCCAUUAUACUCUUGAAUUCACAAAAAUCAAGUUAUUUAGCUUGUAUUGCACUUAGAUCACAAGCCAUUGAAAAUCUAUGGAGACAUGAGCAUAUGUUCUUGCUGUUGACAUAGUUUUCCACUUUAUUAUUCCAUACAAAUAUGUAAUAUGAUGAGUCAAAAUAUUCUCAGUUGUAGUUGCAAACCUUGUCCUUAGUGUUGUUUUUUGUUUUCCUAUGGAAAUGAUUAGAUUCAGUUUCUUCUGAUUCAGUUUGUAGCUGUACAUAGAAAGCAUCGCUCUCCAUUGUGUACCCAAACAAUGUAUGAUUUAGUUCUCCGUUGUAUACCCAAACAAUGUAUGAUUUAUUUCAAGGCCGUUGUUUGACUGGAAUUAGGCUGCUACUUACUGUUUGGCAUACCAAAAAAAA